rnacentral:rRNA from 1 species
CCUACGGGUGGCAGCAGUGAGGAAUAUUGGUCAAUGGGCGAGAGCCUGAACCAGCCACGUCGCGUGAAGGAUGGAGGAUCUAUGGUGUGUAAACUUCUUUUAUAUGGGGCUAUAGUGAGGAACGUGUUCCUUUUUGUAUGUACCAUAUGAAUAAGCAUCGGCUAACUCCUUGCCAGCAGCCGCGGUAAUACGGAGGAUGCGAGCUUUAUCCGGAUUUAUUGGGUUUAAAGGGUGCGUAGGUGGUUAAUUAAGUCAGCGGGGAAAGUUUGUGGAUAAAGCAUAAAAUUGCCGUUGAAACUGGUUGACUUGAGUAUAGAUGAGGUAGGCGGAAUGCGUGGUGUAGCGGUGAAAUGCAUAGAUAUCACGCAGAACUCCGAUUGCGAAGGCAGCUUACUAAACUAUAACUGACACUGAAGCACGAAAGCGUGGGGAUCAAACAGGAUUAGAUACCCUAGUAGUC